rnacentral:rRNA from 1 species
AACGAACGCUGGCGGCAGGCCUAACACAUGCAAGUCGAGCGAGGACUUCGGUUCUAGCGGCGGACGGGUGAGUAACGCGUGGGAAUGUGCCCUUCUCUACGGAAUAGCCCUGGGAAACUGGGAGUAAUACCGUAUACGCCCUAUUGGGGAAAGAUUUAUCGGAGAAGGAUCAGCCCGCGUUGGAUUAGGUAGUUGGGAGGGUAAUGGCCUACCAAGCCGACGAUCCAUAGCUGGUUUGAGAGGAUGAUCAGCCACACUGGGACUGAGACACGGCCCAGACUCCUACGGGAGGCAGCAGUGGGGAAUCUUAGACAAUGGGGGCAACCCUGAUCUAGCCAUGACGCGUGAGUGAUGAAGGCCGUAGGGUUGUAAAGCUCUUUCAGCUGGGAAGAUAAUGACGGUACCAGCAGAAGAAGCCCCGGCUAACUCCGUG